UGGGUUAGGGUGUGGCUGAGGGUUCCUAUGGGUAGGGCUUCUCUCACUAGGGUUAGGGUUCGUAAGGGUAGGGCACUUGGAGCUAGGGUUAGGGUUCCUGUGGGUAGGGCUUCCCGCCCUAGGGUUAGAGUUUCUAAGGGUAGAGCACUUGGAGCUAGGAUUAGGGUUCCUAUGGGUAGGUCUUCCAGCCCUAGGGUUAGGGUUCGUAACGAUAGGGAACUUGGAGCUACGGUUAGGGUUUCUAUGGGUAGGGCUUCCCACCCUAGGGUUAGGGUUCCUAUGGGUAGGGCACUUGGAGCUAGGGUGAGGGUUCCUAUGGGUAGCGCUUCCCGCUCUAGGGUAAGGGUACCUAAGGGUAGGGCACUUGGAGCUAGGGUUGGGGUUCCUAAGGGUAGGGUACGUGGAGUUAGGGUGAGGGUUCCUAGGGGUAAGGUGCCCCGCCCUAGGGUUCGGGUUCCUAAGGGUAGGGCCCUUGGAGCUAGGGUUAGGGUUCCUAUGAAUAGGACUUCCAGCCCCUGAGUUAGGGUUCUUAAGGGUAGGACACCUGGAGCUAGGUUUAGGGUUCCUAUGGGUAGGGCAGUUGGAGCUUGGGUUAGAGUUCCUAUGGGUAGAGUGUCCCGCUCUAGGGUUAGGGUUCCUAUGAGUAGGGCACUUGGAGCUAGGGUUAGGGUUCCUAUGGCAGGCUUCUGUUCCUAGGAUUAGGGUUCGUAAGGGUAGGGCACUUGGAGCCAGGGUUAGGGUUACUAUAGGUAGGACUUCUCGCUCUAGGGUUAGGAUUAGGGUAAGGUUAGGAUUAGGGGGUUUGGGUUAGGGGGUUGGGUGAGGGUGAGAGUUCCUAUGGGUAGGGCUUCUCUCACUAGGAUUAGGGUUCAUAAGAGUAGGGCACUUGGAGCUAGGGUUAGGGUUCCUAUGGGUAGGGCUUCCUGCCCUAGGGUUAGGAUUCCUAAGGGAAGAGCACUUGGAGCUAGGGGUAGGUCUCUAUGGG